UUCCAGCUSCAAUAGCGUAUAUWAAAGUUGUUGGAUUUCGGGGGUCGGAUGGUCCGCCAGAGGUGACCUCUCUCGGGUUGCCCGCCUGCACUUGAAUGACGGGGUUCGGGACGUUUACUUUGAACAAAUUAGAGUGUUCCAMGCAGGCUGAAUACAUUAGCAUGGAAUAAUGGAAUAGGGUUUUGUUGGUUUUCGGGCCGCAGUCAUGGUCAAGAGGGACAGUUGGGGGCAUUCGUAUUAGUUGUCAGAGGUGAAUUCUUGGAUUUACGGAAGACGAACAACUGCGAAAGCAUUUGCCAAGGAUGUUUCAUUAAUCAAGAACGAAAGUUUUCGAAGACGAUCAGAUACCGUCGUAGUCCCAACCAUAAACCAUGCCGGCUAGGGAUCGGCGGACGACUCCGUCGGCACCUCUCGAGAAAUCCAAGCCUUUGGGUUCCGGAGUAUGGUCGCAAGGCUGAAACUUAAAGAAUUGACGGAARGGCCAGGAGUGGAGCUUAUUUGACUCAACACGGGGAACCUCAGUCCGGACAUGGGAAGGAUUGACAGAUUGAGAGCUCUUUCUUGAUUCUAUGGGUGGUGGUGGGCCGUUCUUAGUGGUGGAGUGAUUUUCUGGUUGAUUCCGUUAACGAACGAGACCUUAACCUGCUAACUAGUCGCCCGAACGACUUCUUAGAGGGACACUCGGCCGAGGAGGCAAUAACAGGUCUGUGAUGCCCUUAGAUGUUCUGGGCCGCACGCGCGCUACACUGACGGAGGCAGCGAGCCUUCGCCGAGAGGUGUGGGGAAUCUUGUAGUCUCCGUCGUGCUGGGGAUAGAUGGUUGCAAUUGUCGAUCUUGAACGAGGAAUUCCUAGUAAGCGCGAGUCAUCAGCUCGCGCUGAUUACGUCCCUGCCCUUGUACACACCGCCCGUCGCUACUACCGAUUGAAUCGUUUAGCGAGAAUUUUGGAUCGAGAAAUCGUUCUGACGACUAGA
rnacentral:rRNA from 1 species